rnacentral:rRNA from 1 species
AUUGAACGCUGGCGGCAGGCCUAACACAUGCAAGUCGAACGGUAACAGGAAGCAGCUUGCUGCUUUGCUGACGAGUGGCGGACGGGUGAGUAAUGUCUGGGAAACUGCCCGAUGGAGGGGGAUAACUACUGGAAACGGUAGCUAAUACCGCAUAACGUCGCAAGACCAAAGAGGGGGACCUUAGGGCCUCUUGCCAUCGGAUGUGCCCAGAUGGGAUUAGCUAGUAGGUGGGGUAACUGCUCACCUAGGCGACGAUCCCUAGCUGGUCUGAGAGGAUGACCAGCCACACUGGAACUGAGACACGGUCCAGACUCCUACGGGAGGCAGCAGUGGGGAAUAUUGCACAAUGGGCGCAAGCCUGAUGCAGCCAUGCCGCGUGUAUGAAGAAGGCCUUCGGGUUGUAAAGUACUUUCAGCGGGGAGGAAGGGAGUAUAGUUAAUACCUUUGCUCAUUGACGUUACCCGCAGAAGAAGCACCGGCUAACUCCGUG